rnacentral:pre_miRNA from 2 species
UAAGGUGCAUCUAGUGCAGAUAGUGAAAUAGACUAGCACCUACUGCCCUAAGUGCUCCUUCUGGC